rnacentral:piRNA from 1 species
UAACUGUAGGUGGUAGAAUUGUGGGC